CUCAGUUGAUUUUCAGGAUGGAGGGCAAUAUGUCUGCACCGUCAGCAACGACGUGAACUCUGUCAAUGUUACAUUUAACGUAACAGUCCGAGUUUCGGAUCCAACCGGUGAUGCUCCCAGUUGGAAACUUCACAGGUUCAUCCUCUGCUUGACUCUUUUAGUCUCUGCUUCUGUUUGAGUCAGAGUUCAUUAAGAUGCACUGAUAAACUGAGAUCAAUGAAAUCAGCAGUUCUGACUUUCAGGAUGAUCUGUCUGAAGAGAUUUCCUUGUAUAGUUACAUUUUAUUUGGCUCAGCUCUUGUUUUAAGAUUUCUCCUAAUUGUGUCAAUAUGUUCUGCAUUCCUAUCCUGUUGCAUGGUUUUGUUAUUUAAACUGUUCGAUGUGUAAAACAGCACUUUUCUGCCACUUCUAAUACAUUUUGAGUGAUAUUAAUGUUCUGAUGGCACUACCUAGUUUUUACAACGUCACUUAAAAGGAGUCUUCGUCUCUUUAUUUCUCUGGUGUAGCUGUCAAAGUGUUCUAAUUUUCUGAGUAUGAAUUUUUAGUUCAUUAUCUGUGAGACAUAAUCAUUGAAAUAACAAGAAACAAAGGAUUGAAAUUUAUGUGUAAUGUUUCUAAAUAAAAUAUUUUGCUCCACUUUUU